CAAGAAUACAGUAGUACAAUAAGGAAAAAGCCAGAAAAGGCAACAGGCAGGACUCCAGGGAGCGUGUGCUCAAGCAAGGCUUACUUACUGGAUUCUGAACUCCAGGCUGGGUAAAUUGUGAGUCAAAAAGGAACACCUGGUAUAGAUUUCACAUCAUGCCCAGGUGAUGGGAGUGGAAAAAGAGAUGCCUUUAUCUAUAUAUACACACACUAAUAUACCAAUAUUUACACAUUUACUAUAAAUACAUUUAUAUUAAAUUUAUAUUUCUGGUCCUGAUUGCUGAGAGAAGAGGAGCUACCCAUCAGUAAUGUGGUCAUGGUUAACUAGGAAAGUUAGGAGGAAUUAAGCAAUGUAGAGAAAUUGCUCUCUGACAUAUAUUUGUUAGCAAUUCAACCAAUGUAAACAAAAUCACACACUUUGUGUGUUGUAUUCAGUUUACCAAAAUAAGGUGUCUAAAAUUUUUUAUUUAACCUCAACUUGUAAUAGCUCCUCCUUAGCGAUACAAAGAAACCUUUAGAUUGUAUCAGAUUUUGGUAUUAAGUGCCAAUUACAAUGCCAGUGAGCAGCUGGACAAACUUAAAUGGACAUUAAGCAGCAAAACUUUAGAUCAUGCCCCUUCCUUUUUACUGCUCAAUUAUCUGUAUUUUAGGAAUCCAUCACUUUCUUUAUGCAACUCUAGCCACAUCUAAACUAGGUGAGUCUCUUGGAGCUUCCCUACAUAUGUUCUGAAAAGUCUAAUUAUUUUUUUUAGCUUUUAUUAUUGCAGUGUGUUUUAGAAUUUCUAUUUCCCUGCUGUUAGUUGCCUGCUACAGCAUCUUGUGUGUGUUAAAGUACAAUUAGUAAAGCAGGAGAUAAUCUUGAGCUCUUACAGCAAAGUGUUAGUUUAGAAGUUAUCUCCUGCUUUACAAAUUUAGUUUGACAUUGUCCCUUUAAACUGUAUAGAACUAAAUUGUAGUAUGUAGUAGACUCCAUCUCCCUGUGGCCAGUAAAAAAAAAACAAAAAAAAACAAAAAAAAAAAAGUCCAAAACAAGAUUAGCACAACCCAUUUUGCCAAGAAUGAGAAGCAAUUGUAAGAUAGGGGGUGCAGCAAAAGUUCACUUUUGUCAAUGCAUAAGAGGUUACCACAGAGAGAGCACAGCCUGUGAAAGUUAAAGGCAUCAAAACAACUUUAGCUUAAUUAAGCUGUUUAGGUAUAUAGAUCUCGCCCCGGCAGUUUCGCUGCUUAAUUCUCUACCAUUUAGGAGUUACAUCACUUUUGUUUCUGUUGCCCUACUCACACCUCACCUGGCUGUGACUUACACAGCCUGUAUGAAAAUAGGUUUAAUUUUCAAUCAGAU